GACGAACCGUGCGAACGUUGUUCGGAAUCACUGGGCUUAAAGGGCGCGUAGGCGGCUUGUCAAGUCGGGGGUGAAAUCCGGCAGCUUAACUGUCGAAGUGCCUUCGAUACUGACAAGCUCGAGGGAGGUAGGGGUCUGCGGAACUUCUGGUGGAGCGGUGAAAUGCGUUGAUAUCAGAAGGAACGCCGGUGGCGAAAGCGGCGGACUGGAUCUCUUCUGACGCUGAGGCGCGAAAGCUAGGGGAGCAAACGGGAUUAGAUACCCCGGUAGUCCUAGCCCUAAACGAUGGGUACUAGGUUGUGGACUAACAUGGGUUCACAGCCGAAGCAAAAGUUAUAAGUACCCCGCCUGGGGAGUAUGGUCGCAAGGCUGAA
rnacentral:rRNA from 1 species